CUACGGGGCGCAGCAGUGGGGAAUAUUGGACAAUGGGCGCAAGCCUGAUCCAGCAAUGCCGCGUGAGUGAAGACGGCCUUAGGGUUGUAAAACUCUUUCGCUAGGGAAGAUAAUGACUGUACCUAGUAAAGAAGUCCCGGCUAACUCCGUGCCAGCAGCCGCGGUAAUACGGAGGGGACUAGCGUUGUUCGGAAUUACUGGGCGUAAAGAGUUCGUAGGCGGACUGACAAGUUAGAGGUGAAAUCCCAGGGCUCAACCCUGGAACUGCCUUUAAAACUGUCAGUCUAGAGACCGGAAGAGGUUAGGGGAAUACCUAGUGUAGAGGUGAAAUUCGUAGAUAUUAGGUGGAACACCAGUGGCGAAGGCGCCUAACUGGUCCGGUACUGACGCUGAGGAACGAAAGCGUGGGGAGCAAACAGGAUUAGAUACCCGAGUAGUC
rnacentral:rRNA from 1 species